GACGAACGCUGGCGGCGUGCUUAACACAUGCAAGUUGACCGGAAAGGCCGUGUUUUUGUGGGGUGAUCGAGUGGCGAACGGGUGAGUAACAUGUUAGUAACCUGCGCAUGACUUUGGGAUAACCUUAGGAAACUGGGGCUAAUAGCGGUUUGGACCUCCUGAUGCAUGGUGGGGGUUGGACUGUUUUGGUGGUUUGGGAGGGAUUCGCCGCCUAGCAGCUUGUGGGUGGGGUAGUGAUUUACCGAGGAUUUGUCUGGUGUCCGGACUGAGUGGGUGACCGGCCACUUUGGAGCAUAGAUACGGCCCAGACUCCUACGGAAGCAACUAGUGGGGAAUAUUGCACAAUGGGCAGAAGCCUGAUGCAGCAACGCCGCGUGCCGGAUGACGGCCUUCGUAUUUUAAACCGCUUUCGCCUGUGACGAAGCGUGAGUGACGGUAAUGGGUAAAGAAGCACCGACUAGCUACGUG
rnacentral:rRNA from 1 species